rnacentral:rRNA from 1 species
UACAGAGGGUGCAAGCGUUGUUCGGAAUUAUUGGGCGUAAAGAGCUCGUAGGCGGUUUGUUGCGUCGGCUGUGAAAUCCCGAGGCUCAACCUCGGGUCUGCAGUCGAUACGAGCAAACUAGAGUGUUGCAGGGGAGACUGGAAUUCCUGGUGUAGCGGUGAAAUGCGCAGAUAUCAGGAGGAACACCGGUGGCGAAGGCGGGUCUCUGGGCCGAUACUGACGCUGGAGGAGCGAAAGCGUUGGGGAGCAAACAGG